CUUCACGCGGGGAGGUAGCAAACAGGUCUUCGGCUUGCUCGGGCUCGGCUCCGACGGGCGACAGAUCGGCUACGGCUCCUUCUUCUGGCGCCGGGUGAAGCUCGUAAGUCCCGUCUGCGAGGUUCAGCUCUACACGAAAUGCAAGGCAUCAAGUUAAUUUCCCAAACUUUCUCAUAGGAUGUAAAAUAUGAGUUAGUGCUGAAGAAGAAGUUAUAUUAGGGCCACGUUCACCUAAAUAAGUGCGAAGCUGGGGGUUGGUUUGAUGGCGAUUGCAUACAUAUAUGCACCUCAACUUUAUUACACUUUAGAUCGGAAAGUUAUCCUAUUUUUGAAUGUUUUUUUUGUAUCUCUUCCAAUAUUACCUUUAUUACCUUAAGGUAGCUUAUACAUAAACAUUUUUAUAGCAUACACCUUAAUGAAACUGGUCAUGAAGUUUUAACAGUGAGUUAUAGGGGUGAUACAGAGCCUUUGAUGAAUUUUUCACGAUUUUUAGUGAAGGGCAUCUUUUCAUCUUUUUGUGUACAUUUACCCUAUUUAUUCUUCCCUAAAUCGGAAAGUGGUACCUAUUUUUAUUUCUGGUGGGUUCCAUAUUUUUCCCACAAAUUACAUUACACCACUGACUUAUUCCAAAAGGUUUCAUAUUUUUCUCAGUUCUCGUUUAAUUGAUAUGCAAAAAGGCAAAAACAAACUUAGACUUCCAUGACAAAAAUAAACAGAGGAUUAAACAUUGGAGCUGGGCUCCAAAUCAUUUUUCGAAGCUUCUACUAUCUGAAACAAACACUUGAGAGUUGGAUUUAACUUUUUAUCAUUUUUCUAUGAUUUGUUAUGAUUUAAAUAGCUUAAACAAGAAUUAAAACACAUAACAUUAGUUCUACCAAUGACAUGCGCCAAACGUAUUUUUAUUAAAAACUAAUCUUUAUACUGAGUCUAGCAAAAUUGGUUUGAUAUUUUUCUAAAUUUUCUACGAGUUUUGGUGAAUUUUCAAAGUUAAACAUAUAUUCUACCGAUAUAAAAAGAUAAAUUGUGGCAAACUUACGGUCUUGCCCCUAGAUCUACGGUUUUAUCGCGCAAAGAUCCCUGGUUUUAGCACUAAAGCCCCUGAUUCAACUUUCCCAAUCGCAAUUGGGUCCUUGGGCGCGGGCGGCGGCGGUUGGCUAAAAUUCCGAUGACUCGCCAGCGGCCUUGGAGCGGUAAGGGGUCGGGAAGGCUUACGGGCUCACCUUGGGCCGGUUUGAAGUAGUUGGGGGCUACGGGGAGGCUCGGUCGAGGUAGAACGCGAUAGCGGACAGUGUGCGGCGGCAGUGGCUAAGGGCGGCGGUGUUCUAGCGGCGGUGGCACUCUUCGUGGGAAACAAGCAGGCUCUAGAGCUGCGCGAGAGGGAGGCAAAGCGGCUGGUGGUGUCGGCGGGGUGCGGGGUUGAGCGGAAGUGGGAGCUCCACGGAGGAUCGAGCGGCGGAAGCAGAGAGCAAGGGCAGGGGAGCUUCGGCAAGGCAAGGGCGAGCGGGGAAGGGGGCACCGGCGGCGUUGGGCUUCCCUUUUAUAGGGCUAGGGCGAAGCGGCGAAUGAGGCGGGGCCGUGGCUCUGGCGAGCGGGACCGGAGGGGAGUCGGGGCGCUGCCACGGCCAUUAAUGGCGGGGACGCCAUUGGCGGACAGAGGAGAGAGGGUGGUGCGGCAGAUGAGGCGUGCAGGCAUGGGCGAAACGAGCAGGCGUGCGCAGUGACAUUGGCUUUGCCGGGACGCGUCACUGGCGAGACAGGGAGGAGUUGUCGCGGCUGGGGCUGGAGGCGGCGGUGCUCUGGCAGGCGGGCACGGGGGCACGUGUUCGACAGGGCAGCGGCGGGGUGUGCCCUCGGGCGGAGCGGGGCGCGGCACAAACAGGGCAGGGCGACCGCGUGCUCACUGGGCGCGGGGCGUGUGAGGCGUCUUCCUGCCGUGGCCGGAGACCGGCGGAAGCGCUGCGCCGGUGAGCGGCAUCCAUGUGGCGGGCGGCGAGCGGGGCGCGAAGCUCGCGGGCGCGGGCGCGCUCUAGCUGAGGGAUUCGCGGGAUCGUUUCGCCGGGCCGAUUUCCAAGCGCGAGAUCUUCCAAAUCUUGAACCCCACAACAUUAACUCCCUUUACAAAAGAUGUAGUCCUUAGGCGAAAGUCCAACUUUUGUAAUUGAACUGAGUUCAAAUUUGCGGUGGAUUUGGAGAUUCGAAACUCCAAAGUUUGGAGGAACGCCAGUUUCCUGGACUUAGGCAAAAACAGCAGCUUGGCUGUUUUCAGGGUGUUUGGCUGACUUGAGCUGCAGUUUUGAAAAGCUUCGGAAGCGAAUCGGACUAGAGUCCAAUUGACAUAGUUGUGGCAUAAGAUUAGUUCUCAAACUCUUAUAAAAGAUUUUUUUGAUGUUUGGUUCAAUUUUUGAGAGAUAAACUCAUGCCAAGAUACAGGAUUGAUCUGAUUUCUAGACUUGGUCUAGAUUGCAAGUCUUGGGCUGAGUUGACCAAACUAGGUGACUUUGACCUAGAUUUUGAAGGCUUUCAGGGUAGAUUUAGAACUUACUCCUUAAAUCAAAGUUGUUAAGGUCUUGAAGAUCUAAAACUUUGAUAUCGAGGUCAGCUUGAGUUUAUAUUGGAUAUUUCAAAAUAAAGAGCCCCAAAGUUGGGACUUAGUCUGUUUUUCUUAAAUGGACACAUACUUGUACUUCGAGUUUUUGAAGAUCUUCUGCUCAGAUUGCAGCAAAACACCAAAAAUAAAAGUUGUUAGGAAAGUUAUUUCUACAACUCUUAGUUGGACAUAUUUUUAAGUUCUUAAGCAAAAAUUUAAGUUACUGCUCAAACAACGUUUUAGCUUGUGAGGGGCAAAAGUGUCCUUUUACUUGCCUUCACCACUGCCAAAGUUCUUCUUUAUGCACUAAUGACUUUGUUUAAGAUUUAAACAUAGCCUAAUUAGGCUAGGUUGUUACAACCUGAUCCUACUCGGCAACCCUACACAGCACCACAAACAAAGGGGAAAUAUGCCAAAGUCCCAACGACAACCCACCUCCACGGCGCGAUGGGCACGAGGCAACGAUACAAUAUCCAUGUGAAGCUUAUUCUUAUCAUCAGGAAUCCAGAGCUAGUGUUCACAUGUGGCUCGUCCUUUUUUCAAAAAGACAAAGCUGAACGACGCUCCCGUAUGUCCCUCCUGACAGGGCAGCAACCUGCCGGUCAAAAUCCGAUAGCCCCUCCAUGGCUUCAAAAAGCACCAAAGGGUCUCGGGAGCUGCUGACGGGUCCAUAGACCCAAGGUCCCCAAUGGGACCACCUUUCCGCAACGCUCGGCCCAACAAGAGGCACAACGACAACGCACGCCUGGGCCAGCCCAGAUAUGUGACGCCUGGGCCUGCAGCAAGGCACGGGCAGCGCGCUCACAUGGCGCGAGCGGCCCCUGCGGUGGGGCACAGGCGGCGUGGCCGGACCCUGCAGCCAAGCCACGGGCGGGGCGAUGGGGCACGAGCGCCACGGCCGACCCCUGCGGUGGGGCACGGGCAACGUGAGUUGAUGGUGGGAAGGGUCAGGCACUAGAGGAGCCGCAGCGCCGGCGAAGAAGAACAAGCCGCCAACGCCAUUGGUUGCUCCGUCUGUUGUCCACGAAGGCUACGAUCCGUCGCGGGUACCUCACGAGCUGCCAUGCAAAUCUCUGCAUCCGCAUCCUGUAGCCAAUCAGUAUUAGUAGGGAGCUUAGCUUUUACUCGAUGUGUUACUUGUACUAGCUUUGUGGUUGAUAGCUUUGUGGUUGAUCUGUUAGCUUGUGCUCGAUUUGUGACCAUGUACUUCGAUUCGAUCCAUGACUAUGACUAUGACUGUGACUAGUUUAUCGAGAUUGGUUGUUCUGAACUUCUGUUUUCCCAUCUGUUUGCCGAGUGGUUGAUCCCUAUGGGUCGUCGGGGUUCGGGGAUCGACGGGGAUGGGUAGAAGUGGCAUGUGGCCACGGCCGUGCAUACAAUUUUUUUUAUUUUUUAAUUGAUUUGCAGGGCCGGGUCAUGGCGUUACCCGCCCCUAAAGAUAACUUUUCCAGGGCGGGUGAUGGCGUCACGCGCUCAUGAAAAUGCACUUCCAGGGGCAGGUGAUGGCGUCACCCGCCCCUGGAAACGGCUUUACAGGGGUGGGUCUGUUACCCGCUCUUAUAAACAGCUAUUUGGAGCUACGAAAGCUAGGAGUGAGUAGCGCACCCGUCCCUGCAAAUGUCGUUUCAACCGCUUUGAAAACCGUUUUUGUAGUAGUGAGUAUAGCCAACUUCCUGUACUUUGCUUGUGAUGGUGGUUUUUGCGUGGAUGCAACUCGCUCCAUAAAUUUUCUCUCGGUCGAUAAAAAAGAGCAACACAGAGCUAAAAUCCGAGCUUACAUGUAAGGUAUACUAUUUUCUUCCUUCCACCUCUCUUUUUUCCUACUUGCUCACAAAGAGCACAACCAUAGCUGAGCAUGCUUCGCUCCUCCUCCCAUUAAGGUCUCAGUUACUCGGACUCUCGGUCCAAUCCAACUGCGGUAACGUAUUCCCUCUAUUUCUCCUUUUGUCCACAGGUCACAUGGUGGAGCAACCAACUGACGGGAGUGAACCAGUGCACGUUAUAUUUGUAAUGGCAGAGUGGAUAAAUAUUGGUCCUGCAAUUCGUCAGAAACUGGUGUGGGAUGGGUCACUGGAUUUGGACCCUAGAGGGGUGUAAGCAAUGGAAUCUCAUUUUAAAAAGGGAAAAGUCAUAUUUUCACCCUUCAAUUAUUGCAAAAGUUUAAUUUUCAACCCAUAACUACAAAACCAGACAGAAAGGGCCAUUCAACUGUCAAAACCGGACAAAUUUGGCCCUUUGGUAGUUUUGAGGGUGGUUUUACAUUUUCUAGAAGUUUAAAAAGUUUUGGUUCAAUAAAAAAAUCAUAACUAAUUCAUUUAAAAUAAAAAAAUACGAAGUUGGUACCAAAAAUUUUCUAAAAAUGUAGUCUACUUGUUGAUACUCUAUUUGGAGUUGUUUACAUCAUAUUUGUUACUAUUAUAAUGUUUUAUUGCUUGUAAUAAAAUACAAUAAACAUGAACAACUAAGACUCAAAUAAUGCCAAAUAGUACACCAACAAAUAGUUUACAUUUUCAGACUUUUUUUGGCACCAAUUUGAUAUUUUUUGAUUUGAAAUGAAUUAGUUAUGAAUUUUUUGAUGAAAUGUAAACUUUUUAAAUUUCUAGAAAAUGCAAAACCACUCUUGAAACCACCCAAAGGGCCACAUUUGCUCAGUUUUAAUAGUUGGAUGGUCCUCGUUGUCCGGUUUUGUAGUUGUGGGUUGAAAAUUAGACUUAUGCUAUAAUUAAAGUGUGAAAAUAUGACUUUUUCCUUUUAAAAAUCAUAUAUUUUGUUUCAUGCAUGUUGUCGCACCCCAACUAUCUAUAUACGAACUUUGGUUGAUAACAAAGCCGACAGGCUGUACGAGGCACGCAGCACCAAUUUUAAUUGUAUAUGCCGGAGUACAAUAUCAACAUCGAUAAAAAGAGGCAGCGAUCGAAUAUCAACAGGAUAACAGGCAGAGAUCCAUGGUGAUGAUCGGAGCUAGCAGUACAAGCAAAGCUAGUAGGCGAAUGGAGGAGGAUCGGAGGAGCAACUGAACUUAGAUCUUGCCGCGCGGGCCCGGCACCGGCGGCUGCUGCGGCCCCUUCUUGAUCGGCAGGAGGUCCGGCGACGCCGACGCGCUGACGUAGGCCAGCAGGGAUCCGCCGCCCAGCAGCAGGAACUUGAGCAGCAGGCCCCUCUUGGUGAACGGCCCCGCGAACGUCUCGAAGAACUUGCUCUGCAAACGCAGGAAUCGUUCGAAGCAAACAGAGUUUUGAGUAAGAUUGCGCAUGCAAAAAAAACCGCAGAAAUUAAGUGGAUGCUGAUGCAUCGAUCAUAACAACCUGAAGCGGGUUGUAGGGCGAGGGCGCGUCGGAGCCGUAGAGGUCCCACUGCCCGGUGGUGUUGCCGAUGUCGUCGAGGUCGAAGUAGACGCUCUUGUCGCCGUACUUGGCCACCACGGCGGCGCGGGGCCUGCGGGCGGAGCGGCAGGCGGCGCGGGGCGCCGGCCUGACGGCGAGCCUCCUGCCGGAGAUGGAGCUGCCGCCGAGGCCCUUCACGGCGACCGGCUGCACGGAGACGGCGGCGAGGGAGGCCAUGGCGUUCGCUGAGUACUGUCGAGGUUACUACCGGUAGUGUCCAAGUGCGUACGUGCGCAAACUUAAUUCGGCGGAUCGUGCUAAGGAUCC
rnacentral:lncRNA from 1 species